rnacentral:lncRNA from 1 species
GUUUUCAGUCCUGAUUUUCAUGAAUCACUUUCUUCUCAACUGCCAAUUAAUUGUCUUGGGCACCGCCCGUUUAGUUUGAAAAUGCUGAGGAGACAUUUGUGACUGUCCUGUCGCUUUGUUUCAUUCAAGGAGUUUUUCAUAGUUGACCUCAACUUAUUCAAGGAGUUUUUCAUAGUUGACCUCAACUUAACAUUCAUUGAAUAAACACAUAUUUUUGAGUGAAUUGAAUAAUCACAUUGACAUUUGAAAUGUAUGCUUGUGGAGUUAUGCCAACUUUUGCAUGCUUAGGUCCCUUUGAAUUUUCUAAUUGCUGUAUUCAAUUAUAGC